UCCGGAAACUGGUUCUGUCUUCCAUAUGGCUUUAUUGGAAUCUAUUAUCUGGUAUACUGAUGUUUUCAGCAUCUACAUAAAAGGACUACAGUGCUCAGACAACAUGUGAUGAAGCUUCUAUCCAAAAUUACUUUUGUGUCCUUUAAUCCAAGCUGGAAAUUCCUAUCCCUCCUGACCGUCCAUCUCAAGAUCAAGCACAGCUGUUUUCCCUGCAACUCUGUCUCCCCUUUCCAGCUGGACUUCUGUACUGCUGAUUUUUUUCAGACUUUUUAUAGGUCUAUCUGUAGUGCUUGGACUGUAAGCUGCACUCUACUUAAUCACAGGAAAAUAAUACUCCAAAACUUUGUAUGUGCAGAGUACAAACUGAGGAAGUCUGAAAAUACAGCUAGAAGAUAAAAAGUCAAGAGAAGGUCAUUUCACCCCCCAGAAAUAUGCUCAUUGGUAUUCCUUAAUUCAAAUAAAUUCAUGUUAGCUUGGACAUGCAAUUCUGAAAAGAGCUGAGACGUUUCCUGUACUUAGUUCAGGAAACAGUACAGUUCUUCUCUGGGCUUAAGAUAGCCUUAUUUUGGUAUCUUAAGUAUCUGUGUGCCAUCUACCAGUCUGUGUGUGCUACUCAGUCUUACACUGCUAAUCAAAAUGCAUACUAGAUUCCUCUGAAAAGGAAAUCUGGCUCUUAAGGUGUAUGCUGCAAUUUCUUAACGUAUCAAUAAUUUAUUAUAAUCUGCUUCUAAAGAUAAAUGGAUGAAUUCUAGCCAAGCUAUUGGGUAGAAUGUGUGACACCAGCCUAGCAAGAAUUAUUUUAGAAAAAAAUGUAAUGUUUCUUUCACAAAUAACACAAGGGGCAAUCUUGGUGGCACAUCUUCAGAAAACCAAGCAGCUUACACUACUUUGAUUUGCUUUGAUUUGAGGUUCAGGCAGGUGGCCUGACAUAGGAUUCUCUCAAUCAUGAAGGAGGCCAAUGCUCUUUCUAGCCGUGAUAUAUUGUGUCAAGAUAAAAGUUCUGAUUUAGGAGCUGAUUUUCAGGAAAUUCAAUCUCUGUGAGCAGCUCAGGAUACAGAGCGGAAGAGUUCAGCAAAUCAAAGCUGUAUAAAAUGUUAUAUAUUAAUGCCCAUGUCUGGGUUUUAAUAAUUUACAUUAAAAGCAUUAGUGGGGCCGCAAAGGGAAUUUGCUGCUGGAUCCAAGAUGAUUUCACAACUCUCCUAAUGAAAGAAUAGGAACUACUUCAGUUCAAUAGCCCUCACUUCUGCCCAGUAAUUUAGGAGGAAGCAGUGAGGCAGCCCAUCACGCAAAGUACGAAAGAAUGUAUAUCCUUGGCUUUUCAGAGGAUAGUAAAAUAAACUGUAAAAAAUAAAGAAGUUGCCUCAGACCAUAUCCAUCUGUACUUACUGUCUCCAUAGUAUGGUUAACCAUCUCUCCAGCAGUGAUAACAGUUAGGUCCUGAUCCCACUGGUAUAUUUAUCCCAAGGCAAUGAAAUUAAGCUUAACGUGAUAUUGUUUAAAAAAUAAUUCCACCUCCCCCUUUUUCCUAGGCAAGAAAUAUAAUUCUGACAAGUGGAGAAGGGUAGGAAAGGGAAAUGCACUGUUAAUCGCGGUCUCUAAAUCACAGGAUACCAUCCAUCUUCCCUGGAUGUGUCUAACACUGAAUUUCCUGUACUGACCCGCGAACAAGAAAUACCUUAUCAGACAUCCUGAAUGUUGCUCCUCUUUGGAUCUAAUUAUGUAAUUUGCUAGUCAGAGUGUUUCUAUGAUACUAACAUGUGCAGAGGUUGUAGCAGUUGUGAAACUCACUGAAGAUCUCUUUCAAAAUUAGUUUGUAAUUAUGCAAAAAAAUAGUUUGAAACAGAUGCAUGCAGAUACAGCGGUGAGGGUUGAUUAAAGGUAUGGAAGUCAUCAGGGUGACAUUCGACAUUUGUUGGAGACUGUAGAGUUGUGUGACCUUGCUAGCUGCUUUUCAGAAGAAAAAUGUUGACUCUUUCCUAAGAAAAUGUUAAACUAUUCUUCCUGAUGUAAAUCUAAUUAAAAUAUAAAUUAUAUAGUUUUCUGUUUUGUACAAUGAUAACUCCUGCUUCCUCCAAAGUACUUGACAGCAGCUGUCAAGCAGUGGUUUUUCUAAGAUUCCCGUGCACCAUAUGCAAAAUUAUUUUGAAACCUUUCAUUUAGUGUCUACAUAAAGGCUGAGCUCAUCUGAAAAUCUGCCUUUGUGUUUAUUUAGGGAAUUGAUGCUGUGCUAGGACCAGUCAAAUAUUUCACAUAGAUAAUCCUCACGGAGUCUCUGUGGGUCAUCAUCUUCAGCAAGAGGCUACAAGGAACAGGGAACAGCUGAUGCGUUCUGUAGAUGGAGAUCAGCACCAAAAACCGAAGAGACACUAGACCUGCAUAUUUCUCAGAGUGCAGCGUAGCCCCUGUAUGUGAACCAAGAUGUUCUGGGAUAAAAUUAAUGAGAUUUUCCAGUGUAAGUAUAAAUCAUGCAAGAUAUUUUUGGCUGCAAAAAGGUCCACAUAAUGUUUAGGCUUUAGAAAUCAAGAUGUAGAGUGUAGACCUGGGUAUGGUUUAGGAGUACUCGAGCAGUGUCAGUAUAGCAACUGAACAGAGUCAGCUCAAGGAUUCCUUUCCUCACCAGCCUCUAACCAGUGUAACAUAACAAGCCCCAAACAACUCUAUUUAUGAAAUUAUAAAAAAAAGGAAAAUGAGACAAAAAAGAAAAUGCAAAGAGGCAGCGUGCAACUUCCUGAAGCUUGAGAAAACUUAAGAAGUGUUAUUUAGUCUUGACCAGCUAUUUAAGCAUAAGAAGAGAUUUUCUGCAGUCAGAAAUUCUCCCAGGUUUUGUAAAUCUCAACAUAUACAUUCCAUCAGCUCAGGCAAAGCCAGAAGUGUUUGCAGUGUGGCAGAAGGUUUUCCUGAUGAACAAGUAGCAUUUAUUUCACAAAUAUAAUAUUGCUUUGUUUUAGUCUUGUAUAGAACAAAAAUGGGGAGGCUGACUCUGCCCUCAUGUGAUUCUCCCUCUCUUAGAUGACCCAAGAUCAAAAAGUACUGCCUCCUACCCUGGUACCUGCCCUAGCAUUUUCAGUGACAAGAGAGGACCUGGGAGUGUAUUCUGUGUGGAGACAAGCUAUUUGUCAAAAGAGGUGGCUGGAAGGGUGGAGCUGAUACAGGGCUCGUUAUGCAUGUGCUACAGUUCCAUGGUUAAGCCACUCUUCAUCUUGUAGCACUUGGAAUUUAACAGUCACUUUCACAAUAUUUUUUGCCCAUUUUGAAAUUCUGCAGUCCUCAAUAAUAUGAUUUUUUCUUGUUUGGAAAGUGAAUCAAUCCAUCAGCAUCAUAAAAUAUUACGUGAUUCCUACCGUGCGUUAGAGUAUGUUUCCUUCAAAGACCUGGCUAAUGAUUUUCCUAGGUCAGAACUAGAGACUCUGACUCAGAGGUAGACUCCCUGCACCCCUAUUUCCAUGUGUUCAAUCCAAGCAUUCUAGUCCACUGACAUCUGUACUGACAUCUGGACGCUGGAUAGCAAGAAGUGGUAUGUGGGACCAGCUCCUCCACCCAAUGGAACUACAAAUGCCACAGAGAAAAGACUGCACAGACUGAAUUUUGGUUCCCUACAUGGAAUCUGCAAUUUUGGGUGAUGCUUAAGGAAAUCUGGUUCCUUCUUUUCUGCUAAGAUUUUGCCCUGACUCAGACUUCAGCCAAACAAGAACUGGCCCAAGUAGCCAGAGAUAGAGAAGAUGAAUUUAAGAUACAAGAAGAUGGAAUGCAUGAGGAAUACAAUGGCAGCACCUUAGAAAGCUGGGAGCAGUACAGAGAACAGCAAUCGAGCAAUCAAGGACUGACAUAUAAAGGCAAGGAAUGUUUUCUUCAACAGAUGAGGUGUUGGGUAAAUGGGGAGCUGAUGUAUGUGGUGAAAUAGAAGCUCCCUAUAUGAGAAUCCCCAAAACAAAGUGAAUAUCUGCUGAAAUUCAGAGCCAGUAUAUACAAAAUCAAUGAAAAAAAAUAUCUGAAUUUCUACAUUUGAAGAACUCAAAGAUUGCUCUCCUUUGAGAAGAAUUAGUUUUGUACAACUGCAAAGAACAGCCAUCUGCCUGGUGAAAGAAAGGAAGUGAUGACAAACAAGCAGUACGGCUUCCCAAAUACAAAUAGCAAAGAGGAAAAUAAGGAAAAAGUCUUUAUUAAUUAGCAUUAUCUAGAGGAAUUUCUGGUAGGUAGAUUGCAGUUAGCUGAACAGGAAACCAAUUAGGAUAUGAGCACACAUCAUUUCUUAGUUGAAGAAACUUUCUAUGGAAGAUUUGUAUUAAGAGUGUCCAAAUUGUGGUACAGGAACACAAAGCUGGAAUCAACGUGCAGAAAAGACACACCACUUUCUACUUUUAUUUUUAGGUGACCUUCAGCCCCUAAUACAUCAGGGCACUUCCCGAUGCACUGCUGCCACAGCCAGCUGAGGACAAGCCUUAGGGAGCAAAGUGCAGCAGCAGUAGAACGCUGCCAGGCCCCGGCACUGUGCUGGCUCAGGCCAUCUCUGUGUCAGCACAGUGUCAUCACACAGCCAUUAAUCUACUGUUGCUUUAAAACACAACUGCAUCUCCCCUCCUCACUUGCAUGGCUCACUGAAAGCCCACAGCAGAACCUGCUAGUUCAGCUUUCCCAGUGAACAGAACAAUCAGCUUACUCUGAUACUGCAAAACCUAGCUUGUGCUAAGAAGGGAGGGAAAAUAAUAGAUGCUCUUAGCUUACCCUGAGCUGCCUGUUGGUGUUCACGUUGCAGAAGCCAACUCGUAAGGACGGCAAAUAUGCAAGGUCAGUUAUUUUUUGAAACUAAAUCUGCUGGUUAUUGAAGAUACCUGAAGAAGGCCUGCUGCCAGGGAAGCUAAGGGAGCAGGCCUCUGAAUGAAGGAAGCACGUCUUCCUAUCACAUGCAGGGAACAGCUUUGGAUCCCGGAGGAACAGCCCUUCAGCUGAAGUUCCUCUCUGCCUGUUCAUCAUCCUCUCCCAGAUCACGUGACUGAGAGUCUGGAGAGUUCAAUCCUAUAAAUCAUCUGACCUUGAGGAUAAGCCUGCCAUUACAGCUGCUGUUGUACAAGGAUGCUUCAAAGCAGCUGCAGCCUGAAAAAAGCCCCAAACGGUUGCUGCCAGCUAGGUCAGAGCCGCUGUUCAGCAGGGAUCACUGGGGACUGCAGGCACAGGGUCAGCACUGGGAGAGGUGGCCUGAAGGUGAGGCCAUGGGUGGGCUUCCACAUGCUGGAUAAAGCAGCUCAACAGAUUGGAAAUCCAGAAACACUAGGAUGAAGGAGAGCCUUGAUUUUGGUCAGGGUUGCAGCUGGAGCACCAACAUGGGGCAGUGUUGGUAACAAGGGCUUGACUGGCAUGCACAGCAACAUGCAACCAAUUCAACAACUAAAGUAAUAUUAUGGGGAAAACUCCUGCUAUCUGGAAAUGAAAUGAGCAAAUACAUUUCUUCAGCCUGAAGUCCCCAGCAUGCCUUGAUAAGGGCAAAAAGAAGUGAUACAUUUAGUUUUGAAAGGGGGGCAGCCAGGCAGAGAGCUUGCAGUUGUACUGCUCACAAGUAUCUGUUCAGACUGUAGGGGGAAAAAGGGGUGAAUGCUGCAGGCUUAUGCUGGGAAACAAAGCUUGGAAACAGAAGAUUUGCAAACCAAAACUGCAAAUAUUAGCAGGUUUUCUGCCUCACUGCACUGUGAUCAAGGGUUAAUUUUUUGUGUGUUUUUCAUUCUUUUGAAUGUCAGAUUCCAGUCCCAUUUCCUAUUUCAUUUGUUAUGAUAACUUUAAAAGAGUAUCCUUUCAAUUUAAUUCUUCUACAUCGUUGUCUAUAGCAGCAGUAUUUUAAAUCUUGGACUGAUGUAGCAAUGACUGGCAAAAGGCAGCAAGCUCACUCUGAAGAGCCCCUUUAGGAUAAACCCUUCACUGCAGACAAACCAAAUGAUGUCAUGUGGUGGAAAAAAAGGGACAUCUCACAGGUAAUCACAUUGCUGUGAGGUAAUUAAAGUUCAUCUGCUAGUUGGAUGAGAUAGGGCUUUUUUAUAUCUUCACUGACUAUUGCUUGUGUCAAGACCAGCUGUGUUCAGUCUUCCUUUUUCCAAACAACAAAAAGGAGUAGAGCUCAGAAUAAUAAAAAAAAAGGCUUUGUGUGGCUAACCACAAACAAGACACAUGACUGAGUGCUGUAUCUGUUACAUCUCUCUCAACUUGGAAAACUUUGGACAAGGCUAUUCUGUAAACUUAAAGGGGAAGUCUCAAUUCACAGAAUGCAUUUCUUGCUCCCUACUGAAUUAAGUUUUAGAUUUUACUACUUGUCCCCCAGAUUCAGAAAAUCUGCACUUUGGAAAGGAAGCUGCAGAAUUUUUCUCUGUCUGCUUUCUUUAACCUCUGUGCAAAAGUCAGAUUUCCUGGAAAUUUUUGCAGAUUUUUGGACAGCUGCCCUUGCAGGAGAAAUAAAACCACCCCUAAGGCUGCUUUUGGUAAUUCAAUGAAGAGAACUAUCAGCUAGUGUGAACGAAGAUAUGAAAUGCUUACAUCCCAAAGGGUAUCCUUCUUUACCUCUUUAGCAGUCACCGAUUGUUUUCAUGGGUUUGAAAAAGAAAACUGAAUCCAGGAAGUCCAGCACCAGCAUGAUUUAAAACUGUUGACUUUUACAAAAAUGUGUUAAAAAAACCCCACAUCCCUCAGAGCACAGAAUUUUAGCUUAGCACAGCACUUUCCCCCAGUGUAAAGAAAACAAUGCAUUCAUACGCAACACAAAGCCAAUUUUAGCUGUGUAUUUAUUAAAAAUAUCAUGAUGUCAAAUCAGGACUUAUUAGAAAAAUAACAACAUAGUAUGUCAGGGUUCAGAUAAUAGCAGUGUUUCAUUGCCAGCUCUAAGGAUACCAAACCCUGAAGUCCAAAGCAAAUGUACAAAGUACAGGUUUUCUCAGAACUGCUUAUUCAGGGACGAUUUCUGAGAAUGAAAAACUGAAAGGAAUUUUGGUGCAAUUCUGGGUACAUUUUUCUAUAGCAGCUUUUCAAGCUGGGGAAGUCUUACCCUAACAUUCUACCGUAUUUCAAGAUAGGCUAGUUUCAUAGUGACCUUCCAGCCCCAGGUGCAGAGUACUGUUUAAAAGGAUCUGCUACAGAGAGUUCCAACUAAAUGAGUUUGGGACCUUUAUGGUCAAAGACUCAGACCAUAAUAUAAAGGAAAAUAAUAACAUUUUUCCUUGGAAUGUUUCAAUAGGUAUUUUUUUCAUAUGAAAUUUUCAGAUGAUGGCACAUUGUACAGAGGUAUGCAUACUGUUUCCAGCUGCUCUCCUGUUGCCUGCGCUCUCUGUGCAGCUAACCUUAGGUUUCAUGUAUAAGGCUACUCCUAUUAUUUUCUGUCCAAUUUUGGAGAGGGAAGGACAGAGGAAAUAGGACAAAGCAAUAUUUAAUUCAUAUUGCUAUCUGGCAAACAUCAAAGAAAUUGUGUUAACUCCUGUUUAAAGAAACUCUGGUCAGCUGGGAGGAAACACGAUGCCUGAAGAACCUGUUGGGGAGUUACGUGAAAACAUGCAUGCAUGGCUUCUGAAGAUAAAGAAUACCCUACUGUCAUUUUUUAUCUCCAAGUUAAGCCGUUACUUAAACACUUCAUUUGAAGGCUUCAGAAAAUGGAAUUCUGUGCCCAUUUUUAUUUAAACAUGAAGCAUAUCAGGUGAUAAAGUUACACACGAUGAUUAAAAAAGGAGCAGAAGAAGUAUGAAAUAUCUUUGUAAUUAAUCAACCCCUUGUCAUUGUUAGGUUUUCAUGAUCAAUUAGUAGUUAUAAUUGGUUUUCAUUCCGUAGCUAACAGCACAGAACAUGGAGCUAACCUUGUUCACAUCUCAUCGAUAGCCUCUCAACAAGGAAGGAAGAAAAAUCACUGCUCACUUCAUGAAAUACCUCUGAAAAUGAAGGCCUGGGACAACAUGCUCUCAGUACGUCUCUUACUGAGAUUUUGACACUUAUGUGUUUGACAUUCUGCUGUUCCAUUUGCAAAGUUGAUGCCACUUAGUUGAUGAAAGGUAAUUAAAUUGUUCAAUGAAAUGAA